rnacentral:rRNA from 1 species
GGUGAACGCUGGCGGCGUGCUUAAGACAUGCAAGUCGAACGCGGUCUUCGGACCGAGUGGCGCACGGGUGAGUAACACGUAACUGACCUACCCAGAAGUCAUGAAUAACUGGCCGAAAGGUCAGCUAAUACGUGAUGUGGUGAUUUGCCGUGGCAAAUCACUAAAGAUUUAUCGCUUCUGGAUGGGGUUGCGUUCCAUCAGCUGGUUGGUGGGGUAAAGGCCUACCAAGGCGACGACGGAUAGCCGGCCUGAGAGGGUGGCCGGCCACAGGGGCACUGAGACACGGGUCCCACUCCUACGGGAGGCAGCAGUUAGGAAUCUUCCACAAUGGGCGCAAGCCUGAUGGAGCGACGCCGCGUGAGGGAUGAAGGUUUUCGGAUCGUAAACCUCUGAAUCUGGGACGAAAGAGCCUUCGGGCAGAUGACGGUACCAGAGUAAUAGCACCGGCUAACUCCGUGCCAGCAGCCGCCGUAAUAC